rnacentral:lncRNA from 1 species
UGGUAACCAGAUUUGCAUGCCUGAUCUACCGAUGAGUACGACAUGUUCUUAUGAUCAUGCCCUUAGCCUGCUUGCGCUAAUAGAGGUGAUCCUGAUAGGAUCUUUCUUGUGUAAGGUGGAGGGUUUCAGGAUCCGGACCGGAGAUGUAGAUUCAAAGACGCUUUUUACUAAGAUCGUAUCUAUGUUGCAUUACUAUCCAUGCUCAGAAUUACAACAUAUGCAUAGUCUAGGUUGUUAUAGAUUGGUUACCUUUGCUCUAUCUAUUAUCUAUCUGUACAUGCUUAGUAGAUUGGAUCUGAAUCUUUCAUAAACACCAAGUUAAAACUAACAAUGCUAGUUGAAAUAG